GUUUUGCAGGGAAAUGGUUCAGUAGGUAAGAGAACUUGCUAUGCAAGCAUGAGGACUGGAGUUCAAAUCCCCAGGAGAUCACACACAAAGAGCUGUGUGUGGCUAUGCGUUGGGGCUGGGCAUGCAGCAACAAGGCCAGAAGGAGGAACAUAUUAGAGGAGGACAUUCAAGAUCUUCCUCUGGCCUACACAAGUGUUUGUACUUGCAUACAUUGCAUAUGCAUGCAGUAUAUACAUAUACCAUAUAUUACAUACACACACACAAACACAUGCAUAUACUACAUGCAUAUACACUACCUACUACACACACACCACAUAUACAAACACACCACAUACUAUGUGCACACACAUACCACCUACUACACACACAAGACAUAACACACAUACCAAAUAACACACAUACCACACAUGCACACUAUACAUACAUAUACAUAACGUCCCCUUUUGACCUUCAUAAAUGCAUGUACCUACAUAUUCACAUGCAUGCAGUACCUCCAUAUGUGCACAUACACACCACAAACAACAUCCUUCUCUGUCUUUCACUAGAUACCCAUACUAUGUGUGUGUGUGUAUGCUCACAUAUAUAUAUAUAGUAACUGUAUAUACACACAUACACACCCACCACAUAACACUACAACACACUAUACAUACAAAUCACAACAUAUAGUACACACAACACACACACUUCACAUCCAUACACAUAGUAUCCCCUUCUGACCUUCAUAAGUGUAUGUACCUGCACACUCGGAUGCAUGCAGUAGACACACACACACACACACACACACACACACACACACACACACACACACAUACACAAAAACACACAUUUAAAUUUAGAAAGUUUCACAGCAGUUGAAAAGUUUAAUUUAACUGCUCUUAAUGUCCAUUAUCUUUUCUAUGCUUGGGAUUUUCUUUUUACUUUGUUUAUUUAAUUUUAAUUAUUUUGGAGGUCAGGGAGGAAAAGUAUUGUCUAGUGAAUAGUUACCAGCACUUGGAAUCAGUCAAUAAAUAGAUUUUGUUUGAUUGGAUGUUUUCUCUUUGGUUUUUCAGUGUUAGUAAUGGAACCCAGAAUCUUGUAUAUGCCAGGCAAAUGCUCUACCUUAGAACUAUAUGUCCAGCCACAUUUGGCUUUUAAUCUUGAAAUUCAAAAGACUAAGGAUUAGGUAGGCUUUCAGAAGAAAAGAGGAAACAAGGGAGAAAUAUUCUGAAUUUGAUCAAAUUGGUGGCACAAGUCUAUAGUCAAAACAGGUAUUCAAUGGCAAAAAGAACCAGGAUGACAAAAUGCAAGGCAGGCACAUUACAGAUGCAUAGAUGUGUACACUAAAUCAAAUCCUCAUACUGAUCCUAUACGCUGUAACAACAAAUCCAUAGGCUUUCUUAAAGGCACUGGAAAUGUCUGCAGCAGUAAUGCAAGGACCAUAGCAGUUAUCUUUGCUCUUUGGGAUUGCCAAAUAGUACUAUCUUUAGAUCUCACCUGCCAGUCAUGAUACGAACUCAUAUGGCUGAAUUUUAAUACAAGAAUUUUAUGUGACUCUUACAUCCCAAGCCACGCCUUUCAUAGAUAGAACUGUCUUAAGAUACUGGUAAAGGGACAGCAGUCUGAAUGGGACUGGGCUGGCUUCCAUACUCUGGGCUCUUUGAAUUCACUCUGACCAAAUCUCUGAACUUAAGGAUGCAAACUACUCUCCCAGUGAAUUCUGAGAAAGGCAUUUCUAACUCUGAUCUGUCAACUGUCCAUCCAGGUUUCUAAUGUGCUUCAGCACGUACACAGGCACACACAUGAGCACACAGCCAACCUGCUGUGAUGUGUAAUAAGUUCACUGGAGUCCGGUGGUCAGAGGCUUCUGUGUCACAGAGAAGUGGCUGGUAGGCUAGUGAAAGGAAGGUGGUCGCAGCAAACUACCAGUGAAGUGACUUUUUCUGAUCUUCUUCUUUUAAUGUAGGUUCUUCUGUAGGAACCUAGAAUUUAGGGUAAGGAAGACAAGUUUAAAAAGAUGGUGCCCAAGACCUGUGAGAGUUACCAUCAUGCCUUUCCUCUGAGCACCUCUCUCUGCUCCCCC
rnacentral:lncRNA from 1 species